rnacentral:tRNA from 1 species
GGAGGAUACAGCUCAGUGGUAAAGCCUUUGCUUAGCAUGCAUGCAGUCCUGGGUUCAAUCCCCAGUACCUCCA